AACGCGAAGAACCUUACCUGGGCUCGAAAUGCUAUGGACAGUCUGUGAAAGCAGAUCUUCUCGCAAGAGACCGUAGUAUAGGUGCUGCAUGGCUGUCGUCAGCUCGUGUCGUGAGAUGUUGGGUUAAGUCCCGCAACGAGCGCAACCCUUGUCCUGUGUUGCCACUCCCGUAAGGGAAGCACUCUCAGGAGACCGCCAGCGAUAAGUUGGAGGAAGGUGGGGAUGAUGUCAAGUCAUCAUGGCCUUUAUGUCCAGGGCUACACACGUGCUACAAUGGACGGUACAAAGCGCUGCAAACCCGCGAGGGGGAGCCAAUCGCAAAAAACCGUUCUCAGUUCGGAUCGCAGGCUGCAACUCGCCUGCGUGAAGCUGGAAUCGCUAGUAAUGGCGUAUCAGAACGAUGCCGUGAAUACGUUCCCGGGCCUUGUACACACCGGCUAC
rnacentral:rRNA from 1 species